ensembl:lncRNA NSUN5P1 NSUN5 pseudogene 1
GGGAACAUGGGGCUGUACGCUGCGGUGGCAGGCGUGCUGGCCGGCGUGGAGAGCCGCCAGGGCUCUAUCAAGGGGCUGGUGUACUCCAGCAACUUCCAGCCUUGAUGACUUACAAGCCCUCAAGGGGAAGCAUUUUCUCCUGGACUCCUUGAUGCCGGAGCUGCUGGUGUUUCCCGCCCAGACAGAUCUGCAUGAACACCCACUGUACCGGGCCGGACACCUCAUUCUGCAGGACAGGGCCAGCUGUCUCCCAGCCAUGCUGCUGGACCCCUGCCAGGCUCCCAUGUCAUCGAUGCCUGUGCCGCCCCAGGCAAUAAGACCAGUCACUUGGCUGCUCUUCUGAAGAACCAAGGGAAGAUCUUUGCCUUUGACCUGGAUGCCAAGCGGCUGGCAUCCAUGGCCACGCUGCUGGCCUGGGUUGGCGUCUCCUGCUGUGAGCUGGCUGAGGAGGACUUCCUGGCGGUCUCCCCCUUAGAUCCGCGCUAUCGUGAGGUCCACUAUGUCCUGCUGGAUCCUUCCUGCAGUGGCUCGGGUGAGAUGGUAUGCCGAGCAGACAGCUGGAGGAUCCCGGGGCAGGGACACCUAGCCCGCGGCUCGUCUACUCCAUGUGCUCCCUCUGCCAGGAGGAGAAUGAAGACAUGGUACCAGAUGCGCUGCAGCAGAACCCGGGCGCCUUCAGGCUAGCUCCCGCCCUGCCUGCCCGGCCCCACCGAGGCCUGAGCACGUUCCCGGGUGCCGAGCACUGCCUCCGGGCUUCCCCCAAGACCACGCUUAGCGGUGGCUUCUUCGUUGCUGUAAUUGAACGGGUCGAGAUGCCGAUGUGAGUGAGUGGGGGCAUGCUUGGGAGGCGCAGGAUGGUACUGGCACAUCUAACAUCUACACUUCUCUAGCUCAGCCUCACAGGCCAAAGCAUCAGCACCAGAACGCACACCCAGCCCAGCCCCAAAGAGAAAGAAGAGACAGCAAAGAGCCGCAGCCGGUGCUUGCACACCGCCUUGCACAUAGCAGAGGCUCCAGGCUGACUCCUUCCUGGUGGGAAAGGAAGAUGCCUGUCCUCUCCGUGGAGGACCCUGGGCCCUCACCGCAGGCAGCAGUUUGCAUUUUGAAAGGUUAUUGGGUCCCUUCCUCGGGCUGUGUUCUUGCUGGUGAGCAAAAGUGUUGCCUGCAGAAAUAAAAUGCAGAACGUACUC